rnacentral:tRNA from 1 species
GUCCAGGGAUGGGAAUCGAACCCACAAUGUUCCGCUUACCGGGUAGAUGCCAUGUCUACAAGGCUACCCUGGA